GGGAAUGUGACUUAGUGGAAGAGUACUUGCCUAGCAUGCAUGAAGCACUGGGUUCGAUUCCCCAGUACCA
rfam:Dipodomys ordii ctg_broad_rename0005202, whole genome shotgun sequence.